UAUUUUCAAAAAAGGAAAAUGAAAUUUAGACGACCAUAAACGUGUACGUGGUUGCUAAACACACUUUCUAAAAGUGUUGUAAAAAUGAUAUCCUCUGUUUCUUCUCAUCCAAGCGAUUUUGCUUUUCAUUUUUCUUCUGGGUGUUGCAUUGCAAUUAAGAUGGAUGGCGAAAUAGCAUAUAAGAACACAAGAGGCAGCUGGUAGCUGCUUCGACCAUUUCAAAUGAUAUCCAUUAGUCUCUUCGGCCUCUUCUGUUGGAUCCAUUAAUAGCCAUUAGACUUUAAUGAAAAUUGUGAAAACAAAUGACUUGAGUCUA
rnacentral:lncRNA from 1 species